UUUAUAUGAGAGUUUGAUCCUGGCUCAGGAUGAACGCCGGCGGUGUGCCUAAUACAUGCAAGUCGUACGCACUGGCCCAACUGAUUGAUGGUGCUUGCACCUGAUUGAUGAUGGAUCACCAGUGAGUGGCGGACGGGUGAGUAACACGUAGGUAACCUGCCCCGGAGCGGGGGAUAACAUUUGGAAACAGAUGCUAAUACCGCAUAACAACAAAAGCCACAUGGUUUUUGUUUGAAAGAUGGCUUUGGCUAUCACUCUGGGAUGGACCUGCGGUGCAUUAGCUAGUUGGUAAGGUAACGGCUUACCAAGGCGAUGAUGCAUAGCCGAGUUGAGAGACUGAUCGG
rnacentral:rRNA from 2 species